rnacentral:rRNA from 1 species
GUGGGGAAUCUUGCGCAAUGGGCGAAAGCCUGACGCAGCGACGCCGCGUGGGUGAUGAAGGCCUUCGGGUUGUAAAGCCCUGUGGGGAGGGACGAAUAACGACGACUUAAUACGUCGUCAGAUGACGGUACCUCCUUAGCAAGCACCGGCUAACUCUGUGCCAGCAGCCGCGGUAAGACAGAGGGUGCAAACGUUGUUCGGAAUUACUGGGCGUAAAGCGCGUGUAGGCGGUCUGGUAAGUCGGGUGUGAAAGCCCGGGGCUCAACCCCGGAAGUGCAUUCGAUACUACCAAACUAGAGUACUGGAGAGGAUGGUGGAACUCUCGGUGUAGAGGUGAAAUUCGUAGAUAUCGAGAAGAACACCGGUGGCGAAGGCGGCCAUCUGGACAGAUACUGACGCUGAGACGCGAAAGCGUGGGGAGCAAACAGGAUUAGAUACCCCUGUAGUCC